GACGAACGCUGGCGGCGUGCUUAACACAUGCAAGUCGAACGGAAAGGCCCUGCUUUUGUGGGGUGCUCGAGUGGCGAACGGGUGAGUAACACGUGAGUAACCUGCCCUUGACUUUGGGAUAACUUCAGGAAACUGGGGCUAAUACCGGAUAGGAGCUCCUGCUGCAUGGUGGGGGUUGGAAAGUUUCGGCGGUUGGGGAUGGACUCGCGGCUUAUCAGCUUGUUGGUGGGGUAGUGGCCUACCAAGGCUUUGACGGGUAGCCGGCCUGAGAGGGUGACCGGCCACAUUGGGACUGAGAUACGGCCCAGACUCCUACGGGAGGCAGCAGUGGGGGAUAUUGCACAAUGGGCGGAAGCCUGAUGCAGCAACGCCGCGUGCGGGAUGACGGCCUUCGGGUUGUAAACCGCUUUCGCCUGUGACGAAGCGUGAGUGACGGUAAUGGGUAAAGAAGCACCGGCUAACUACGUG
rnacentral:rRNA from 1 species